CAUGACUUCGUACACUCAAGCUCUUGACCUCGUGAUCAGGUUCCCUUUGAACUUUGACAUCUGGGCCCCUCCUCGCCAAGUAGAAGAUAAGUGUCGCCCGUCUCGUAACAGAUCAC